CGCCAUGUUGGACUGCUGAAAUCUAUAAGUUUCUUUCAUUCUCUCUCUGUUUAUUUUCUUUUCUUCCUUUUUGUUAAAGAGUGUAGGCUCAAAACGUAAAAGACUUUUUCAUUUUUCCUGAGUAUCAAACUAAUACAUCUGCUUGUCUUUUGUUUUUCAAUAAAUUUCAUCUAUAGGAGCAGAAGUGGGUGUGUGACAAGUAGCAUUGCUUACCUGGAGGACAUGGUUUUUUGUCGCUCCUGCUUCACGUCACUGAAUGCCAGCGUCGUGAAUUUUUGAUGUACAACUACAGGAUUGUCAAUGACUGGAUUGCUCUUUGGAGUUUAAUGACCCACAGAUUGAGGUGAACAUUUACAGACAUAAUCUGAAGAUCAAAGAGUGCUCCAGAAACACUUUUGAUGAAGAAUGAUGUUCACUAGAAAUGAAAAGGCGUUUUGUGUGCUAGAAUAUGCUUGAAUACAGUUAAACAAGAAUGUGCAACAUGCAUUUUCAAGAAAAUUCAAUAAAAACACAUUUCUCAAUACUAAAUCAUAUCCUAAUGCGACUACAAAAUAUUUAUAAAAUUUGCACUAAAGGAUCUAGUUGAUUCUAGUCUUUGGCGUAAAGCUUUAAAAUCAUCCAUGACCAGAUGAUUGACUUUACUUCUAUUCCUUCCCUGAGAAUAUCUGUUAUGAGCUUCAUUUAGAAUGAAGGGAUUAAUGCUAUUACAAUCAAAAUAAAAAAGAGGAUCUCCUCUUGAAAAAUGACUCUUUUUAUUUAUACAUCUGCUAACCUGUCUCUUUCAGAUGGUAACUUCAGUCUUC